GAGACGGAGAAGCAAAUCACCUCGGGUGGCGGUGUUCCUGCGACUGCGCAGUGCCUGAAGGGGCCAGGCCUAGGUAGGUGUGAGUUACCGGCCUAGGCUAGCAGACGAGCGGGCGAAACAGAACGGGCUACCUCUCCCGGUGAGCCACUACCCUGGCCCCUCACUCAGCCAUGGGUGUGCAGCCCCCCAACUUUUCGUGGGUGCUCCCAGGCCGGCUGGCAGGGCUGGCACUGCCUUCAUCCCCUGCCCACUAUCAGUUCCUGCUGGAUCUGGGCGUGCGGCAUCUGGUGUCGUUGACGGAGCGCAGGCCCCAGCACACAGACAGCUGCCCCGGCCUUACCCUCCACCGACUGCGCAUCCCGGACUUUUGCCCGCCAGACCCCGAACAGAUAGAUCGCUUCGUGCAAAUCGUGGACGAGGCAAACGCCCGGGGAGAGGCUGUGGGAGUGCACUGUGCCCUGGGCUUUGGCCGUACUGGCACCUUGCUUGCCUGUUACUUGGUGAAGGAGCAGGGCCUGGCUGCAGGAGAUGCCAUCACUGAAAUCCGGCGACUUCGACCUGGCUCAAUAGAGACCCAUGAGCAGGAGAAAGCAGUCUUCCAGUUCUACCAGCGAACUAAAUAAGGAGCCUCAUCACUCUUCUGCCAGGCCUCUACUACCCUGACCAGAUUAUCAGAUGGAGCCAGAGAUAUUGGAAGUAGACUAAAGCCCUCCAGCUCCCAACUGGCUCAAGAAACUGAAGUUGCUCUUCCCUGAUGCCAGAUUCUGAUUGAAGGGAUGACUAGAGCUGCAUUGUUGAUGUAGAGACUGGUGGGAGCCUUAAAGCUGCAUGCCUGAGUUCAUGUCUGCUGUUAUCCUGACCUGCUGAGGUCCUACAAUGGAUGGAUCCUCACACUUUGUGUCCUUUCUUCCUACCUCACUCCAUCCUCCCCAUGUCUUCUGCACUGCAAGCGAGGAAUCUUCCCUUCCCUUCCUCCUGAAGCUCCUUCAAAGGAGAAAGAAAAUUUUUCUAACCACAGUAAAGCCCUGUGUGCAGCCUCCAUCCCUAUAAUUUAAGUAGGUCUCCUCAGCCUCAAGAGUCCCUCGGGGAAAUAAACAUAUAAUUAUGUGCCUAAGGAAAUUAGUUUUUAAAUGAGUCGACUUAGAAUGAAAAACUGUCAUCUUUGCAUCUACCUUGGGAGGUUAGUCUAAGGCUCCCUUUGGGAUUAUUUCCACCCUAAAUUUUUGUGCCUUUUGCUCACUCCCCUCUUCUGUCUAUGGCCACCAAUGAGAGAUUACAGACCAGGUAUGACCCUUCCCCAUUCUACCCAACACUGGGAUGAUAGGUGUGAGGAACAAGCUCCUGCAUAGACAAAGAACCUUCACAUUGCAUCAGACCAGGACUUCUCAAGGUCAGCACUGCUAGCGUUUGAGGCUGGAUAUUUUGUUGCAGGAGCAGGGGAGAAGGGUGUGUACUAUAGAGUGUACCAACAUCCCUGACCUCUACCCACCAGAUGCCAGUGCAAUGCAUUACCUCAAAAAUGGCAAUAAAUAUGUCUCCUUACAUUGCUAAGUGUCCCCUGGGAGGACAAAAUCAGCCCCAUUACAUUGGAGAACCACUACAUCAGAUCGACAAGCACCAAAUGCAACCAUAGGCUUUGUUUUCUAUGGGAGCAGAUGUGGGAACAUACUUGUGAAUUUCUCCUAUGGAUGUACACAUCUCUAUAGGGGGGAAAGGGCCAAAUUAAACACCCUAAAAAACCCUUACUCUUUUGAGCAAUAUCUGGCACUCAUCCCCAGUUUACCCCCUUUUCUCAGGCUGGCUUCCCAAGAUGGUGAUAGACACUACUAACUACGCUUAGGAGUGCUUUAUCCUCAAUAAGUUAUUGGUGGGUAUAACUGUAGUAACACUGACUCCUACCUUUGUGUUUUUAAAGUUUUAUUCAUCCUUACACUGUGGCAUGUUACCCAAGUUCCUUACUGAAGGAAGGCUUGUCUAUAUGAAUACAUGUCUCCAUAUCAUUUGGGUUAUGCACCAUCAACUCUGGGGUUCUUUUCCCAGAAAACUGUUCUGAUGCAGAAGCCACUAGAGUCAGGACAGGAGGAGCACCUGCCAUAUUAUUCCUUGAAACCAUUCCUCACUGGCCUGACUUUCCCACCUGCACUUUACCUGUAGCUCUUUUUGCUCCGACUGGGGUUCUUCUGCUCUGGUUUCUAGGUCCCAUGACCUCCCAGGCCAUGUGUGCCAGCACACAGCUUCCUCCAGAAACAGACUUGCAUCUGCACACUCACAGUGGCUGCCCAUGUUUUGGAUCUGUGCCUCAAUAUCACCCUCCAGCCAUUUAUGACAUGUAGGGAUGCCAUCUCAUAGGGUGGCUCAUCAUCCUGCCCUUACCUAAGGAGGUCUAUCCCCUAGAUCAGGUCUUCCCAGAGCAAUGAUGAGCAUGUCACUUGGGGCAAGGACUUGAUGCCAACCAUAAACUAUUUCCCAGAAUGGACUGCACUCAUUUGUCAAGCCCAAAUUAAAUAUUCUGCAGUCUGUAUCUUGUCACUCUUUGUAAAAAAAAAGAAACUAAUGUAGUUUAACAAGAUUGUUUUGUCACAAACCAGUAUCAGUUACCACUAAUGCCUUCCACACUUUGUCAUGACUGCACUUUGCUUACUUAUAUAUGAUUAUAAUUGUCAUAUUUAUGAAGCAUCUAUCACAUAGCAGGUGUUUACAUACAUUGCAUUAUAUCAUUUUAUCACAACCAUUCUGAAAAUCAGGU